UACAGAGGUCUCAAGCGUUGUUCGGAUUCAUUGGGCGUAAAGGGCGCGUAGGCGGGAUGGCAAGUCGGUCGUGAAAUCCUUCGGCUCAACCGAAGAACGUCGGCCGAUACUGCCGUUCUUGAGGGAUGCAGAGGAGAUUGGAAUUCCCGGUGUAGCGGUGAAAUGUGUAGAGAUCGGGAGGAACACCGGUGGCGAAGGCGGGUCUCUGGGCAUCUCCUGACGCUGAGGCGCGAAAGCGUGGGGAGCAAACAGG
rnacentral:rRNA from 1 species